rnacentral:rRNA from 1 species
GAUGAACGCUAGCGGCAGGCCUAAUACAUGCAAGUCGAACGGUGUCUUCGGACAUAGUGGCGCACGGAUGCGUAACACGUAUGCAACCUACCUUACAUUGGGGGAUAGCCUUUCGAAAGGGAGAUUAAUACCGCAUAAGACAGUAGCUGGGCAUCCAGCAGCUGUUAAAGAUUUAUCGAUGUAAGCUGGGCAUGCGUCCAAUUAGCUAGUUGGUGAGGUAACGGCUCACCAAGGCAAUGAUUGGUAGGGGAACUGAGAGGUCAAUCCCCCACACUGGCACUGAGAUACGGGCCAGACUCCUACAGGAGGCAGCAGUAGGGAAUAUUGGGCAAUGGACGCAAGUCUGACCCAGCCAUGCCGCGUGCAGGAUGAAGGCGUUAUGCGUUGUAAACUGCUUUUAUACAGGAAGAAACGACUCUUGCGAGAGGCAUUGACGGUACUGUAUGAAUAAGCACCGGCUAACUCCGUGCCAGCCGCCGCGGUAACAC